AUUGAACGCUGGCGGCAGGCUUAACACAUGCAAGUCGAGCGGUAACAGGUCUUCGGAUGCUGACGAGUGGCGAACGGGUGAGUAAUACAUCGGAACGUGCCCGAUCGUGGGGGAGUAACGCAGCGAAAGCUGUGCUAAUACCGCAUACGAUCUACGGAUGAAAGACGGGGGAGUCGCAAGACCUCGCGCGGACGGAGCGGCCGAUGGCAGAUUAGGUAGUUGGUGGGAUAAAAGACUUACCAAGCCGACGAUCUGUAGCUGGUCUGAGAGGACGACCAGCCACACUGGGACUGAGACACGGCCCAGACUCCUACGGGAGGCAGCAGUGGGGAAUUUUGGACAAUGGGGGAAACCCUGAUCCAGCCAUGCCGCGUGCAGGAUGAA
rnacentral:rRNA from 1 species